UACGUAGGGUGCAAGCGUUGUCCGGAAUUAUUGGGCGUAAAGAGCUCGUAGGCGGUCUGUCGCGUCUGCUGUGAAAACUCAGGGCUUAACCCUGAGCUUGCAGUGGGUACGGGCAGACUAGAGUGCGGUAGGGGAGAAUGGAAUUCCUGGUGUAGCGGUGGAAUGCGCAGAUAUCAGGAGGAACACCGAUGGCGAAGGCAGUUCUCUGGGCCGUAACUGACGCUGAGGAGCGAAAGCGUGGGGAGCGAACAGG
rnacentral:rRNA from 1 species